GCAAGCAGAAGUGAAAGAGUACUGUGGGAAAUGGAGGAGCUCUUUAGCUGGUCCCCAUCACCUGUCCAGCAUCCUGUGGGCCAGCGCCCGGUGGUUGGGUGUGGAGAAAUGGCACUCUCAGCUUCACCUGGAGAGGCAUCUAUGAUCUUGAAAACAUGAGUGUGACAACCGUGACACCUGUGGGGAAGAAGGCGCAGGACCAAGAGCAGAGGACAGGAGGAUGUUGACUGUGGGAGAGAUGAGGAGCAAAGC
rnacentral:lncRNA from 1 species